rnacentral:pre_miRNA from 12 species
UCCUGUGACAGGCAAGCUUUUUGGCUCGGGUUAUACCUGAUGCACGCGUAUAAGACGAGCAAAAAGCUUGUUGGUCGGAGG